GUAGUUUGGUUAGCUAACUGACCAAUAGAAAACGAUCCAACAUAUUUACAUUUACAGGAGUAGAUGGAAAAUACAUAAUAUAAUGAGAAAUCGGGAACCAUUCAAUUCAUGAUGCCUGAACAGAUAAAGCUGGAAUAUUUGAAAACAAGAGGUCAGGUGGAAGUGGCUUAAUUUGACUCUUACUAUAAUUAAGUGGUUGUUCAGCACAUGAGAACAAGAGAUAGUGAUGUGUUUUAUGUUCUUUGGGACGCAUUUACUGCUAUUCUAGACCACGCUUUGGUGGUGACUAGAUGAUCUGAUUUUGUUACAGUCGAUACAAAACGGUAGUUUUUCAAUUUUCAUGAAGUGAUUCUAUUUUUCAGCUCCAAAAUGGGAAGAAAGCUCGGGGCCGAUUUAUUCGACUGCCAAUACGGUUUAAUGUCGUACGUGGGAUCUUCUUUGUCUUUAUUUACAUGUUUAGUUACGACUCCACGUUCAUUUGUAAUUUAUGAACAAGUCAAAUUUAAAAAUCUUGAUAAAUUUGUUAGAUGAGAAGUUUUUUUAUUCUAUUUUAUUUUGAGAAUGGUAGUUGAAUAAAUGAAUUUCAUAUAUAUUCAAAAAUCACACUGACAUCAUGAUAGAUAAGCCGACUAUAUAUAUUACAAGUAGUUUUAUAAAUCUUCUAAGAGGUGCAUUGCCAUAAAUUGUACCUAAAAGAAAAAGAAUAAUAUGAAUAAAGGGUGAAAUAAAGGAUAGUUCAAUUUAUAAAGAGGAAAGAGUGGAAUGAAGAUGUUGGAUACACGUCUUCUUUACCUGGAAGAGUACAUGCCACCAUCAUUUUGUUUAAUAAUUAGUAUACUUAAACUAGUAGAUAUAUCUCUUUUGUAGUUAUAUAUUGAUAUAUUUUUCAUAAUAAGUUUAGUGACACUAUAAGAAGUCGGUCGACUAUUUGCAUAAUACCAUUAUUAGGUUGCAAAAAACAUAUAAAGAGAUAUAUUGUUUAUCAUGACAAAGAAAGAAUGAAAAUAUCUAAACGUGAAAGCGAUAUAUUAUUACUUAGGUAAGGUGGAAAGUGGAACCAAACUUAUUGUGAUGUGAAAACAGAAAUAAAGUAUGGAAGCAUCUUCAGUUAGAGGAGAUACAGUUUUAAGAUGGCGCAACUAAGAUUUCAUCUUCCAGAUGCAAUCUUUUGACGAUUUUUUUUUUCUUACGUAAAGCUCAUCCCAUAAUUAAAUAGAUCUGCAAGAUACGUAUCGGUCCUACUAAGCAAUACACCAUCUUGAUGGCUGGUAGAGCGGUGCUUCUGACGUUCAAUCUCGUGACUCCCACGAAGACGUGCUCAAUUUUUAAUGGUUUCUAAAGAGGACUCUUUCAGAAUAAAUAAAAGUGAUAUUUAAUUGUGUUUAACUGAAAAUGUUGUUAGUAAAUUAAUUGAAAUGGUUACACUCAUUUGGUGUUUUCGAGUCAGAAAA